rnacentral:rRNA from 1 species
AGUCACUGACAUUAGAUACCCCUGUAGUCCAGGGUGUAAACGCUGCAGACUUGGUGUUGGAAAGCCCUUUGGGGGCAUUCAGUGCCGGAGAGAAGUUGUUAAGUCUGCUACUUGGGGAGUACGUCCGCAAGGAUGAAACUUAAAGGAAUUGGCGGGGGAGCACCGCAACGGGAGGAGCGUGCGGUUUAAUUGGAUUCAACACCGUAAAACUCACCAGGGAAGACUGUUACAUGAAGGCCGAGAUGAAGACUCUGCUAGAUUUUCAG